rnacentral:rRNA from 1 species
AUUGAACGCUGGCGGCAGGCUUAACACAUGCAAGUCGAGCGGGCGAGGUUGCUUCGGUAACUGAGCUAGCGGCGGACGGGUGAGUAAAGCUUAGGAAUCUGCCUAUUAGUGGGGGACAACAUUCCGAAAGGGAUGCUAAUACCGCAUACGUCCUACGGGAGAAAGCAGGGGAUCACUUGUGACCUUGCGCUAAUAGAUGAGCCUAAGUCGGAUUAGCUAGUUGGGGGGGUAAAGGCCUACCAAGGCGACGAUCUGUAGCGGGUCUGAGAGGAUGAUCCGCCACACUGGGACUGAGACACGGCCCAGACUCCUACGGGAGGCAGCAGUGGGGAAUAUUGGACAAUGGGGGGAACCCUGAUCCAGCCAUGCCGCGUGUGUGAAGAAGGCCUUUUGGUUGUAAAGCACUUUAAGUGGGGAGGAGGCUUACCUGGUUAAUACCUGGGCUAAGUGGACGUUACCCACAGAAUAAGCACCGGCUAACUCUGUGCCAGCCGCCGCCGUAAGAC